GACGAACGCUGGCGGCGUGCUUAACACAUGCAAGUCGAACGGAAAGGCCCUGCUUGCAGGGUACUCGAGUGGCGAACGGGUGAGUAACACGUGGGUGAUCUGCCCUGCACUUCGGGAUAAGCCUGGGAAACUGGGUCUAAUACCGGCUAGGAGACAUUUUUAGUGUGAUGGUUGGAAAGUUUUUUCGGUUUAGGAUGAGCCCGCGGUGUAUUAGCUAGUUGGUGGGGUAACGGCUUACCAAGGCGGCGAUGGAUAGCCGACCUGCGAGGGUGGACGGCCACACUGGAACUGAGCCACGGUCCAGACUCCUACGGGAGGCAGCAGUAGGGAAUCUUCCGCAAUGGGCGAAAGCCUGACGGAGCAACGCCGCGUGAGUGAUGAAGGUCUUCGGAUCGUAAAACUCUGUUAUUAGGGAAGAACAUAUGUGUAAGUAACUGUGCACAUCUUGACGGUACCUAAUCAGAAAGCCACGGCUAACUACGUG
rnacentral:rRNA from 1 species